UACGUAGGGGGCGAGCGUUGUCCGGAUUUAUUGGGCGUAAAGAGCUCGUAGGCGGUUUGGUAAGUCGGGUGUGAAAUCUCCACGCUCAACGUGGAGGGGCCACUCGAUACUGCCAUGACUCGAGUCCGGUAGAGGAGUGUGGAAUUCCCGGUGUAGCGGUGAAAUGCGCAGAUAUCGGGAGGAACACCAAUUGCGAAGGCAGCUCGCUGGGACGUUACUGACGCUGAGACGCGAAAGCGUGGGGAGCAAACAGG
rnacentral:rRNA from 1 species